rnacentral:rRNA from 1 species
GAUGAACGCUGGCGGCGUGCCUAAUACAUGCAAGUCGAGCGAACGGACGAGAAGCUUGCUUCUCUGAUGUUAGCGGCGGACGGGUGAGUAACACGUGGAUAACCUACCUAUAAGACUGGGAUAACUUCGGGAAACCGGAGCUAAUACCGGAUGAUAUUUUGAACCGCAUGGUUCAAAAGUGAAAGACGGUCUUGCUGUCACUUAUAGAUGGAUCCGCGCUGCAUUAGCUAGUUGGUAAGGUAACGGCUUACCAAGGCAACGAUGCAUAGCCGACCUGAGAGAGUGAUCGGCCACACUGGAACUGAGACACGGUCCAGACUCCUACGGGAGGCAGCAGUAGGGAAUCUUCCGCAAUGGGCGAAAGCCUGACGGAGCAACGCCGCGUGAGUGAUGAAGGUCUUCGGAUCGUAAAACUCUGCUAUUAGGGAAGAACAUAUGUGUAAGUAACUGUGCACAUCUUGACGGUACCUAAUCAGAAAGCCACGGCUAACUACGUG